rnacentral:tRNA from 111 species
GCGCGUUUAGCUCAGCGGGAGAGCGCUUCCCUGACACGGAAGAGGUCACUGGUUCAAUCCCAGUAUCGCGCACCA